GCUCCUCCCAGCUCCAGCCUCCAGCCACCAAAAGUGGUAUCGAGAGGUUUACUGAAGAGGCUAGUGAGAGAGAACACUCCACGGAGUGGGCUUUUAUUGGGAAACAAAAAAUGCUGGGGAAAAUCCCAUCCAAUGAAGGUUAAAGGGGGCACCAUCCCAAGGUCAGGGGCGAUGAUUGGGUCUUUGGGGCAGUGGCCAGACACGCCUCUGCAGGGACAAGCCCUCAGACCUGGAGAAGGGUGGGCAAAGCUCUGACACAGCUGUGUCUAAGCGCCUCUCACCCAGCCAGGGAGGUAACUCAAAUCACAUUCGAGGAUGGCCUCCCACACAUUUGCUCUCUGUUUAGACCUCACACCAACCUGAUGACAUAGGGGGAUGAGUGUCUCUUUAAGUGGGAGAGCGGGCUCAGGGACGUAGGCGUCCUGGCUUGAGUCAGCUCUCAUAAUGCUUCGCUGCUAAUAUUCACUGUGCUAAGCACUGGGAUUUGCAUAGGCAAUAAUCACUCUCCUUAAAGACCAAUAUAAGCCAGGGACAAACAAUUUUGUGCACUUUUGACAUUAGUUCACAGAAAAGCCCUAAGGGGUGGGGGUUAUGUGAGGAUCCAUAAUUAUAUCACUAAUCAAAAUCACAUGAGGGAUCACUUAGGCCCUAGUUGGGGCGGGCGGUAUACUUAGAUGUCCCAAAAUACCGUUCUGCAGGGUGAAAACUAAAUUGCGUCCAUGCUAAGACUGGACUAAGAUGUCAAAAUAAGGCUGUUCUUCUACUUAUAUUUCAGAAAUGUGUUCCAAAGUAAGCUAACUUUUUUUUUCCCUAAGUAAGUUCUGUGGGCCAGCAGGUCCCUCCCACCCAGAGCUUGUUAGAAAUGCAGAAUUUCAGGCCCAUGUUAGAGCUACACGAUCAACAUUUGCACCUUACGACAUUCCUAGGAGAUGCCUGUGCAGAGGAAAAGUUGAGAAACUCUGAACUAAUGUGAAAACAGAGUCAGCCAUUGCGUCCGUGGGUGCCAUGCGACGGAAACUUGCUCAUCCAUGGCUGAGGCAGGUUACCUUAUCUGGUACCUGGAACAUUUGAGGUGUUCAGCCAGGGGAGUAGCACAUGACUAAAAAGAGUCCAGCCAACCAAGAGGGACAGAGAGUCUUUGGCUGGAGCACAGGCCCAUGUGUUCUGGGCCUCCUGACUAUCCUGCCACUUCUCAAGUUGAGAGCUAGAGAAAGCCAAAGCCUAGCAGCCAGUAAGGUAAACAAAACAGAAAGAACACCUGGAGCUAAGACCGUGGAGGGAAAAGCAAGCCUCCCCAGAACCAGGAGGGAGCAGCUCUUUCCCUUGCUCCCUCUACUGGCAGGGCUUCACCUCCCUCUACUGGCAAAGGAAACUAUUUAAAAGGUUCAGAUCCUUUUCACAGAGCAGGCAAUGAAGGGUGGACUGUCAGGGGAUAUCUUUUUCUCUUUUGGAACUUUGGGGAUGGGCUACGGAUUGAUCCUAGGGUCUUAAGCAUGGUUAAGUGCUCUACUACUGAGCUACAUCCCAGCGCCUCCUGUUUGUGAAUUUUAUUUGAGACAGGGUCUUGCUAAGUUGCGCAGGCUGGUCUUUGAACUUGUGGUCCUCCUGCCUCAGCCUCUGAGUGGCUGGAAUCACAGGAGUGUGCCACUGAUAUCUCAAUAAGGGCACAUCACAGUGUAUUUUACCAGUUUCCUACUAAUGGACAUCAUGGCAUGUUCCAUUUUUCACCUUUCUCAACAAAACUUCUUAGAACGGCCCUAAGCACAUUAUUGCCACACUUGAAGGAUUAUCUCAAGAGAAUUUUCAGUUGAGGAAAAAAACAUGAAGAGAUCUGUAUUCCAUUCUUGGGUUAAUCAAAGUAAAUCUUGGGCUGAAGUCGUCUGGGGAAAAUGUGGACGUUAGUGGCUGCCUGGAUUACUCAGAGAGGGCCAAGGGCUUUAUUUUUACGUGGCCUCUGCUGCUUCCUUAAUAAUCUGCAGUACAAGGACAACUUCUGUUUAAGAAGUCUUCAGAGGCCUGAAGCUUCAUCUCCCAUGUGAAUGUCAUUGAAGCCCAAACUCCUGCCAUUCAGGCCUCCGCCAGUGUAACCUCCCCUCCCCUCUCACCCGGGGGACCAUCCUUGCUCUUUGAACUUCUUUAUUUGGCACCUGAGGAUCCUGUCUUUCCCCUUGAAAGAUUAACUUAUUUCCCUUGGGAAUAUUUUAAAAUUUGUAUUGCUAGAUAAGACCCAGUAUUCAGCCAGGUGUGGUGGCGCACACCUGUAAUCACAGUGGCUCAGGAGGCUGAGGCUAGACUCAGCAACUCAGUGAGGCCCUAAGCAACUCAGUGAGACCUUGUCUCAAAAUAAAAUACAAGAAGGGCUAGAGAUGUGGCUCAGUGGUUAAGCACCCCUGGAUUCAAUCCCUGGUAUCAAAAAAAUGACCCAGUAUAGGUAAAUGUUUAUAAACAACAACAACAAAAACCUCUAGGGAGCCCUGUUUUCUGCACAGAAAGUUUGUCUUCCCCUUCCCCAUUCCUAGUUCUGAUCUAGGAAUCUUUCACAUUCGCCCUGUACCCUGAAGUAUAUUGAAGAUAUACCUCAAUCCAUUAAUUAACUGGGCACGAACAUUAUGCCAUGCAAACCUCACAAGAAUCCUAAAGGAUAACCUUAUGACCAUUUAUAUACAAGGAAUCUAUGGCUAAAAGCCUGCCAGCUUUGUCUGAGGUCACAGAGGUAACAAGUAGUACACUGGAAUUUGAGACCAGGUUCCUCAAGUCCAAUCUGCAGGAACCACCAUGUUAUAGAAAAAUAUAUAACUUAAGAGGAGAAGGGCCCAGUAGGCUUGCUGAUCUGUGUUGGCUGAGAGGGCCUCAACAUGCCCCGUCAUCUCCGAAGGCCCCUGUGGAAGUCCCUGUGUGUUCAGGCCCUGCUGGCUGGCCUUGCUGGGGCCCUUGUCCUGGACACCUGACUCCUCUCUCCCUCACCCGAGGCUCCCUCCUAAGCCCUGUCUCCUGAAGGCAUUGCUCCCCUGUUGGAGGUAACCAGGGCAGGGCAGCGGGUGCUCUGAAGGGAUGGAGCCGCUCUUCCCAGAGCAUCUCUCAAGACAGGAGAUUCCACCUUCCCGGGCACCAGCUGCAGAUGUGACAUAGAGGUGCAGGACUAUGGGUCCCCAGCAGGAGCUGCCUACCCUUUUGCUUGCUUACGUUUUUUAUUAUUAUUAUUACAGAUUUACAGAAAGACACACACACGUGUGUGUACGUACUUAUGAAGAACCUCAAACAUCAUCAAAAUGUGUAACAAGAAAAUCCUCAUAGAAUGCACCCCCAAUGAUCACUAACAGUUGGACACUUUAUUUAUUUAUUUUAGUUGUGGAUGGACCCAAUAUGUUUAUUUUUAUUUAUUUUAUUUACAAUUCAACUCUUCAGACGGAGGGCAGAGAAUAAUGCAUUUUCUGUUAUAUCAUUUUACUCCUUUUUUUGUAUUUUUUUUUAGCUGUAGGUGGACACAAUACCUUUAUUUUAUUUUUAUGUGCUGCUGAGAAUUGAAC
rnacentral:lncRNA from 1 species